rnacentral:lncRNA from 1 species
AGGAACAGGCAUAGCAAGGCCCUCUUGCAAGAGCGACUUAUACACAAAGAUGAUGGAAUUGCACAAAAAUCAUCAGUGGGGGAGCCGGGGCCCCGUGGCCCUUGGCAGGCCACAGCCCACCUCUCCCCGCGGCCCUUGCCCAGCUCCGCUGCCCAGUAUCGGGCCACACCGGGUGUUGCGGAUGGAGGGCCGGCGCCACUCGCGCUCAGUCUUACCCGCAAGGGGCCUCGUACUCAGCUGUGGGCGCCGCCGGGUCCAGCUCCGCCUCCUCCUCGGUGUCGGUGUCAGUGUGGGUGUCAGGCACUGCAAAGGAGCGCCCGCAGGGCGUGGUCACGCGUGAGAGUCCACGGGGACCCGACCGCGUGUGCCGGGCGUCCCCGGGCCGCGGGGGCCCCUCCGGCUCCUGGCCUGCAGGGGUGCCUCCUCCCAGGCAAGCAGCACUUGGUGGCUUGGUGUGGUUCUGGGUCUCGGGGGAGAGGGGGCCUGGGUGAGGUGGCCGCCCUUGGGGCCCCGGCCCAUCCCACCCUGGCCAGGACAUUUCCCUCAGGAGGACUCACACUCCGCAACCUGCGCCCGGCGGUAGGGGCAGCCCACAAAGGUGCCGGGGCCCCAGCCGAGCGGGUAGGACUCGCCAGCGGGGUAUGCACCCGCGUAGGCCGCCGCGGUGUCCCCGAGGUAGUAGCAGUUCAUGCCCUCUGGUUCGGGGCAGGCCCAAACGGUCUGCUGGUACGGGGCGUCCACGCCAGGCCUGCAGGGGAGAGGCGUGCAGAGGACAGCGCUGAAGCCUUCCGGUGGGGAACAGGGUCGGGGCCCCGGGGCUGCAGGGGCGUGGGCCGGCCGCCAGGUGCCCAGCCGACCAGCCAACCCGCCUACCCGCCUCGGACCUGCUGGCCACUGUUCCCUCCGCACAGCGGCCCGCCCCCACCCGGCGGCCGGCCAGCCCGGGCCGUGGUGGUGGGUUGCGGUGGGUGUGUCCGGCCCAGGUGGGCCCUGCGAGGGUGGGGGAUCCGGGGCCCCGUGGCCCUUGAGAGGCCACAUGGCCCGCCUCUGCCCGCGGCCCUCCCAGCUCCACUGCCCGGUGUCGGGCCAUGCCGGGUGUCGUGGACGGAGGGC